GUAGCAAUACACGAGUGGCGCACGGGUGAGUAACGCGUGGAUAUCUGCCUUUUGGUUCGGAAUAACCCCGGGAAACUGGGGCUAAUACCGGAUGGUUCCUUCGGGAUAAAGAUUUAUCGCCAAAAGAUGAGUCCGCGUACGAUUAGCUAGUUGGUGAGGUAAUGGCUCACCAAGGCGACGAUCGUUAGCUGGUCUGAGAGGGCGGACGGACACACUGGGACUGAGACACGGCCCAGACUCCUACGGGAGGCAGCAGUGGGGAAUUGUUCACAAUGGGCGCAAGCCUGAUGACGCAACGCCGCGUGGAGGAUGAAGGUCUUCGGA
rnacentral:rRNA from 1 species